CUUCGUCUGGAUUCGAAGGGCACGGAAGAAAAGGGGGAAUGGUAGGGAGAGGAGGAAGGGGAGCAGGAGGAGGAAGAGAACGAAGAGGAGGAGGAGGAGGGACGUGUUUGCUUGGUUUGGACAUGCGCCCUCUGUAUUCUCUCCACAGGUUUGAAGAGAAACACAUGGGGGGGUUUAGGUUUUUCAAAGUGCGAGGGAUGGCGCGCAAAAGGAAUGGAUUGGAAAGGAAUGGAAAGAAGAAAAGAAUAGUAGGUAGAGAUAGUAGAGUUGAGUCGAGUUGAGAGAAGAAGAUGAAGACGAAGAAGAAGAAGAUGAAGAAGAAGAAGACGAGACGACGUUUACUCGUCGUCCUCGAGGCGCUCAGAUCCGCAAGGGCCCUCGAGCAACAACGUCUCGUGGCCGUGAGAAAGUGUGUGCAUUAUACGUGUGCUCAAUCGUUUCUCUUGUGUGUAUGUAUAAUACACAGUAUACUGACCGUGACAACGGUAGGACGAAGAUCACUGGCGAAGUACGUCGUUUUGAAUCCACCGGCAAGCAGUUUCAAAAGAAGUGUAGUUGUUGGUUGUUGCGUCGGUAAUAACAACAAUAACAACAGC
rnacentral:lncRNA from 1 species